AGCCUGCUAGUCUAAACAAGAUAGUUGAUUUCGACUCAACAGAUUAUAGAUAUUUACUAUAGCAAGCUA
rnacentral:tRNA from 1 species